ACAGUUGGAAACGACUGCUAAUACCGCAUAUGCUGAGGAGCAAAAAGAGGAAUCUGCCUAGGGAGGGGCUUGCGUCUGAUUAUGCUAGUUGGUGAGGUAAUGGCUUACCAAGGCUACGAUCAGUAGCUGGUCUGAGAGGAUGAUCAGCCACACUGGGACUGAGACACGGCCCAGACUCCUACGGGAGGCAGCAGUGGGGAAUUUUCCGCAAUGGGCGAAAGCCUGACGGAGCAAUGCCGCGUGGAGGAAGAAAGCUUACGGGUUGUAAACUCCUUUUCUCAGAGAAGAAAAAAUGACGGUAUCUGAGGAAUAAGCAUCGGCUAACUCUGUGCCAGCAGCCGCGGUAAUACAGAGGAUGCAAGCGUUAUCCGGAAUGAUUGGGCGUAAAGCGUCUGUAGGUUGUUUAUUAAGUCCGCUGUUAAAUCCCACGGCUUAACCAUGGACAGGCGGCGGAAACUAUUAAACUAGAGUACGGUAGGGGCAGAGGGAAUUUCCGGUGGAGCGGUGAAAUGCGUAGAUAUCGGAAAGAACACCCAAGGCGAAGGCACUUUGCUGGGCCGAAACUGACACUGAGAGACGAAAGCUAGGGGAGCAAAUGGGAUUAGAUACCCCAGUAGUCCUAGCCGUAAACGAUGGAUACUGAGCGCUGCGCGUAUCAACCCGUGCAGUGCUUUAGCUAACGCGUUAAGUAUCCCGCCUGGGGAGUACGCUCGAAGGAGUGAAACUCAAAGGAAUUGACGGGGGCCCGCACAAGCGGUGGAGCAUGUGGUUUAAUUCGACCAACGCGAAGAACCUUUACAGGGGCUGACAUGCCACGAAUCUUUUUGAAAUGAGCGAAUGCCU
rnacentral:rRNA from 1 species